UGGGGAAUAUUGGUCAAUGGACGCAAGUCUGAACCAGCCAAGUAGCGUGCAGGAUGACGGCCCUAUGGGUUGUAAACUGCUUUUAUAUGGGGAUAAAGUGGGGAACGUGUUCCCUUUUGCAGGUACCAUAUGAAUAAGGACCGGCUAAUUCCGUGCCAGCAGCCGCGGUAAUACGGAAGGUUCGGGCGUUAUCCGGAUUUAUUGGGUUUAAAGGGAGCGUAGGCCGUUUGGUAAGCGUGUUGUGAAAUGUAGGAGCUCAACUUCUAGAUUGCAGCGCGAACUGUCAGACUUGAGUGCGCACAACGUAGGCGGAAUUCAUGGUGUAGCGGUGAAAUGCUUAGAUAUGACGAGGAACUCCGAUUGCGAAGGCAGCUGACGGGAGCGGCACUGACGCUUAAGCUCGAAGGUGCGGGUAUCAAACAGG
rnacentral:rRNA from 1 species